CCUACGGGAGGCAGCAGUGGGGAAUAUUGCACAAUGGGCGCAAGCCUGAUGCAGCGACGCCGCGUGAGGGAUGGAGGCCUUCGGGUUGUAAACCUCUUUUGUUAGGGAGCAAGGCAUUUUUGUGUUGAGUGUACCUUUCGAAUAAGCACCGGCUAACUACGUGCCAGCAGCCGCGGUAAUACGUAGGGUGCAAGCGUUAUCCGGAAUUAUUGGGCGUAAAGGGCUCGUAGGCGGUUCGUCGCGUCCGGUGUGAAAGUCCAUCGCUUAACGGUGGAUCCGCGCCGGGUACGGGCGGGCUUGAGUGCGGUAGGGGAGACUGGAAUUCCCGGUGUAACGGUGGAAUGUGUAGAUAUCGGGAAGAACACCAAUGGCGAAGGCAGGUCUCUGGGCCGUUACUGACGCUGAGGAGCGAAAGCGUGGGGAGCGAACAGGAUUAGAUACCCUGGUAGUCCACGCCGUAAACGGUGGAUGCUGGAUGUGGGGCCCGUUCCACGGGUUCCGUGUCGGAGCUAACGCGUUAAGCAUCCCGCCUGGGGAGUACGGCCGCAAGGCUAAAACUCAAAGAAAUUGACGGGGGCCCGCACAAGCGGCGGAGCAUGCGGAUUAAUUCGAUGCAACGCGAAGAACCUUACCUGGGCUUGACAUGUUCCCGACGAUCCCAGAGAUGGGGUUUCCCUUCGGGGCGGGUUCACAGGUGGUGCAUGGUCGUCGUCAGCUCGUGUCGUGAGAUGUUGGGUUAAGUCCCGCAACGAGCGCAACCCUCGCCCCGUGUUGCCAGCGGAUUGUGCCGGGAACUCACGGGGGACCGCCGGGGUUAACUCGGAGGAAGGUGGGGAUGACGUCAGAUCAUCAUGCCCCUUACGUCCAGGGCUUCACGCAUGCUACAAUGGCCGGUACAACGGGAUGCGACAGUGCGAGCUGGAGCGGAUCCCUGAAAACCGGUCUCAGUUCGGAUCGCAGUCUGCAACUCGACUGCGUGAAGGCGGAGUCGCUAGUAAUCGCGAAUCAGCAACGUCGCGGUGAAUGCGUUCCCGGGCCUUGUACACACCGCCCGUCAAGUCAUGAAAGUGGGCAGCACCCGAAGCCGGUGGCCUAACCCCUUGCGGGAGGGAGCCGUCUAAGGUGAGGCUCGUGAUUGGGACUAAGUCGUAACAAGGUAGCCGUACCGGAAGGUGCGGCUG
rnacentral:rRNA from 1 species